rnacentral:rRNA from 1 species
GACGAACGCUGGCGGCGUGCCUAAUACAUGCAAGUCGAACGCUGAAGGAGGAGCUUGCUUCUCUGGAUGAGUUGCGAACGGGUGAGUAACGCGUAGGUAACCUGCCUGUUAGCGGGGGAUAACUAUUGGAAACGCUAGCUAAUACCGCAUAAGAGUAGAUGUUGCAUGACAUUUACUUAAAAGGUGCAAUUGCAUCACUACCAGUUGGUCCUGCGUUGCAUUAUCUGGUUGGUGAUGUAAUGGCUCACCAAGGCAACGAUACAUAAUCGACCUCAGAGGGGGAUCGGCCACACUGGGACUGAGACACGGCCCAGACUCCUACGGGAGGCAGCAGUAGGGAAUCUUCGGCAAUGGACGGAAGUCUGACCGAGCAACGCCGCGUGAGUGAAGAAGGUUUUCGGAUCGUAAAGCUCCGUUGUAAGAGAAGAACGAGUGUGAGAGUGGAAAGUGCACACUGUGACGGUAUCUUACCAGAAAGGGACGGCUAACUACGUG